AAAAAAUGAUUUUCUUCUGUUGGCUUGGCAUGAUGAGAAACGGCUUCUGUGAGGGCGAGGUUCAAAAACAAGACCUUUGUGAGCAAUGGGAAGGGACUGCCUCUUUGACUGCAUUUAUUACGGAAGCUGAACGGACAGCUCCCAGCUGAAAAGGCAACUUCACCAUCGACGGUUCUCGCCAGGUUAAAUGUCAGUAGAUGAAGGCCUCAUCAUCACUCAUACUUGGCUUUUCUCCUUUUCUGCUGCUUCUUCUCCCUAAUUGGAAAUCUUUGGACUAAGAAUCUGUAAAACAAGUCUUUCAAACUGCCUUCAAGUAUCUCCUCUGUGUCACUUGGUAACAAAGGUCGAAGAUAACAGAUGGAGUCCUCAGUGUAACUUGAUAAAUGUUUCCCUUCCUCAGCCUUUUGUCUGAUUGGACAUCUGGAAGGAGGCAGUUGUUGGCUUUGUUACAGUGGUUCAAGAAUGUCAGAAUUGCAGUCACUACAAUUCUCCUGGCUUUUCUCUCAUGGUCCCCAAAUGACUGCUGGAGUUUCAGCCAUCAUAUCAGUGAUCAAGGCAGCUGGAUCCAGGCAGUAAUCCAGACACUUGGAAGUCCCACCCAAGGACUUCUGCUCUUAUCUCAUUGGUCAUCUUUGUCUGAAAGGAAAGCUGUGAAAUACAGUAUUAUUAAUAAGCACGUUGCUGGCUCCAAUAAUAUAGAGUCUUGUUAACAACAAAGAAGAGGAGAAUGGAGAUUGAGCAACCAGGAAGCAGUCUCAGCCACACCAUCAUAUGGAGAAGUGCCUGUUUCCCAUUCUGCCCGAUUUUAAGUUUCCUGAGGCACCCCCAGCCAUGCAGAACUCUCUGGUGCCUGGCCCACAGGAAGUUUUCACUAAAUAUUGAAAUAAACUGAACUUAGAUUAAACUUUGGUGUCUAACUUAGGAAAAACAACAAGAGUUCUACAAAACUAUUUCUUCACAGGAAAGUCUGAAGCCAGGCCUGCUUAGCAGAGGUCUCCGUAUAGUAGGGAUCUCACUCUUUCAAGAUGUAGGAUCUCAACUGGUUAGCCAGCCCUCUGAGUGAAGCUGGUCAGUUGGGGCUGUGACAACAUAGCACACUCAAAGGGGCAGACCCUUCUCAGCUCCAACAGAUUGGUGUCAUUGGAAAAGGUGGACCCAGUGUAGGCAGACUUUCCUAGAGAGUCCAGAAGUGACUGUGCAAGCCCAAAGCAAUCCAAACAAAUAUUUGUGGACCACCAAGAACCUCUGGUAUGAAGUAAAUAAUAAAGGCAUUGAACAAUAAUAACCUGUCUGUAUAUCCACCAAUGGGACCGAUGGGCCACAGUGUGACAUCUAUCCUAUUCAUGUCAUAAGGGAGAUGAAUUCUACUGUGGGACAGUCUGUGUGACUGCUCGUAGGAGAUUAUCCAAUUCCUUUUGCUCUAAUUUCAUGGUCACCAAAUUUCUGCUUGCUAACUUUGUUUUACAACAAACUUUAGAAAGGAGGUGAUCUGAAUAAGAGGAUAUAUGUUUUUCAGUCUCUGGAAAGGGGUAUUUCUUUGUAUUGAGAAGCCAGAACUCUUGAGUGUGUUGAGCCUUGUAGAGAUUGAACCACUCUGGGUCAGCUGACAAAAUAAGAUUCUGGUGCUGAAAAGCUGAGUAUGUGACCAUGAUAUUAACAGUGACCUAAGUUUGUGUGGCCCCCUUCGUUCUCCAGAAACCAACCAGUCAGCCUUCAUUUUGUAAAUGUAGCAGACACCAUUUUGCUAGUGAAUGAGGUUAAAUCUUUAGCCUUGUCAUUGGUUCGGCUUUGUAAUUUAAAACUCUCUUAUUUUACCCUCUGAUUUUAAAUCCCCAGAUUUUCCUUUCUGUGUCCUUUGCCCCCUGAAGUUUCCAUCUGUCUAGCAACUAAGCACUGUUUGGGUAUCUACUGUCUUCCCCAAGUUGCCUUUACUUUUCUUCUUUACCUUUCUCUUGUUUUAUUUAUUUCUUUCUUUUUUUGAAAUGGAGUCUUGCUCUGUCACCCAGGCGGGAAUGCAGUGGCGCAAUCUCGGCUCAUUGCAACCUCCACCUCCCGGGUUCAAGCAGUUCUCCUGCCUCAGCCUAAUGAGUAGCUGGAAUUACAGGUGUGCACCCCCAUACCUGACUAAGUUUUGUAUUUUCAGUAGAGACGGGGUUUCACCAUGUUGGCCGGGCUGGACUUGAACUCCUAACCUCAGGUGAUCCGCCCUCCUUGGCCUCCCAAAGUGCUGGGAUUACAGGCAUGAGCCACCACACACAGCCUCUCUUGUUUUACUUCUGUCAUUACUUUUUGUUCUUUUAAUUUGGAAACCCACCUGCUUCCUCAGUGUCAUUAUUAAAAACCCACAUGUUACAGGUUCAUUAGGACUGAAACAUUCCUUCAGAGCUGAGCUGACCAACAUGUUAGCCACUAGCCACAUGUGACUAUUGCAUACAUGAAAUGCAAAAUGUGGCUGGUCUGAAAUGAUGGUAUAGGUAUGAAAUUCACACAAGAUUUAGAAUACUGAAGAUAAAAAAGAAUGUAAAGUAUCUCAUUAAUACUUUUUUUGGUAUUGAUCACCUAUUGAAAUGGUAAUAUUUGGUUAUACUGGCUUAAGCAAAUGUACAUUAAAAUUAAUUUCAUCUAUUUCUUUUUACUUCUUUAAUACCAGAAAAUGUAAAAGUACCUAUCUGGCAAGCAAUAUAAAACUAUUGGUCAGUGCUACUUGAGAGUCUUAAUGUCUGUAUUUUUUAUAUCUCUGUAAGCAUAAAUGCUGUAUUAAAAACCCAAUUUGAAUAAACACCCCCAAAUUACUCUUCC
rnacentral:lncRNA from 1 species